UGGGGAAUAUUGGACAAUGGGGGCAACCCUGAUCCAGCCAUGCCGCGUGAGUGAUGAAGGCCUUAGGGUUGUAAAGCUCUUUUACCAGGGAUGAUAAUGACAGUACCUGGAGAAUAAGCUCCGGCUAACUCCGUGCCAGCAGCCGCGGUAAUACGGAGGGAGCUAGCGUUGUUCGGAAUUACUGGGCGUAAAGCGCGCGUAGGCGGCUUAUCAAGUCAGAGGUGAAAGCCCGGGGCUCAACCCCGGAACUGCCUUUGAAACUGGUGGUCUUGAGUCCGAGAGAGGUGAGUGGAACUCCGAGUGUAGAGGUGAAAUUCGUAGAUAUUCGGAAGAACACCAGUGGCGAAGGCGGCUCACUGGCUCGGUACUGACGCUGAGGUGCGAAAGCGUGGGGAGCAAACAGGAUUAGAUACCCCCGUAGUCC
rnacentral:rRNA from 1 species